rnacentral:lncRNA from 10 species
UUUUUUUUUUUCCUCCUUCUCUUCACAACCUUUUGCUAAAGCUGUGCAAAAUGUGUCAUGCAUAAAAAGUAUGCAAUUUUCAUGUAAUUAGAGGAACACAGGAUGAAAAUGAGUUCCAUCAGAGCAAUCAAGGAUGGUAAUGUGAGCAGGCCUUUGAGAUCCCUAGGCAAUUUCAGCAUGAGAAGCUCUGCAGUUCUAACAGUUUGGAGGGAUGAUUUUGAAGCUCUGAGUAACGCCUAUUGAGACGCCUACAUUGUCUACAACCUUCCUAAUGCCAAACAACUUUCCUUGAAUACAGGCUAGAUAAGGUAUAUAGAAGUCAUGCCAUCAGGUUAUAACUAGGCUCCUGGCUUUCCUCUGUAAAAUAGAAAAAACAUCACCAACGGCGGCCGCUGAGCAGAUUCCAUACAGAAUAAAGCGAUGAGAACAGAAGAACAUGCUGCACGUGACUGCAUCCUUCUGCCUGAAUUGUAGAUUUAGAGCAGUAGGAAAAGGGACUAGAUCAUUCUUAUAGCUAAUACAGUUUGCAUAAACCCAGAAGCAAUCAGAGAUUUGAGACCUGUGACAACAGGCCCUUGUUACAAACUUCACAGAAAGUUAAUGAGAUCCCAGCUCUGACCUCUCUACCUCACUUUCACUGUUGUCAGAUAGGACCUUGAUUACUGGCCUCUCACACUGAAACACAAGACCUCUUGCCCCUUAGAAGUCCAUCUGUUCAUACCGUUUAUGGCCACUGACUCUUCCUGUUUCUCCUAACUUUUCCUGAGUUACCUUGAUUUCUUCCUCAUUCCUCUUCAAAAGCUAUAGCAAAGGCAAAUUUCCUAAACCUUAGUUUAUAGGCCUAGCACUCCCAAUUAAUUGAAGCUCAACUUUUAUAUGGAAUUAUCUUGCUGAUGUUACUCCAGACCCAAUGUGUGGAGAUAGGACUGCAUUUGAACUGCUCAUGUUCCACCUCUAAUCUGGAAAGAGAGAGGGUUUUUGCCCAAGACACAGAUGGAAGUUGUCAAGAAAAUAAACUUGUCCCCCACCUCUACUCUUACCUCCUGUUGAUAAACAAACCUAUACCACUGGGUUUGUUUAUUCUAAAGUGGAUAAGCAUGUGCUCACCACCAAGGAAACAUUGCCAGCUUCACACUCCAAUGACUCUCGGGCCAUCUGUCCAGAUUCUGCUGCCAGUUCAUGCUGCUUCUUGAUUGACUCGCCGCCAGACGUCCUCCACAGGCCCCUGAUGGAAUGUUUAAAAGGCCCUCCUGUGGGAAGCAGGGAGAUUUACAGUUAAUUUUUAUUAAUGAAGGAUGACAGGCAUCUCCAUUUAGCCAACAAGAUAUUACACCGGUCCAAGAAAAUGCCCCUGUAUUUGGAACAAACAACCUUACCCCAUACCCCAACCCACCUCUCUCUCACUCUUUCUCUGUCUCUGUCUCUCUUUCAUUGACACAUAGUCACAGGCACACACACACACACACACACACACACACACACACACACACUCUUAAGCAUACACAUGGGCACCAGGGAAUGAAGAAUACAACAAAUGAAGAAACAAAGGGGAAUAUUUACUUUUUUAAUAUUCUGGCACUCCCCUAUCAAAAGAGAAAGGAAGGAAUGAGGAUCUUAUGAGUCUGGGAGUGGGUGAGUGGUGACGGUCCGAUAGCAAAUGCUGCUGAUUCCUGCUGCUGAUUCCUGUUACUCGUCUCCAUUCCUACAUCUCAGUCCCCACCCCAUAUUCAUUCCCACUCUAGAGAAUUCGCUGCCAUUUCUGAAAUGAAUUACGAUGCCACAUUAGCUUUGUAACUGGCCCAGCUACCCACCCUUGUGCUUCUUUGAUUUACUUCUCACCUUGCAGCAAGAAUUUUUUUUUUUCCAUAAUCUGUUGCAUUUGUUCUCUGAUUAAAACCCUUCAGGAAUUCUUCAGGCUCU